GCUUGCACUUCGCUGACGAGUGGCGGACGGGUGAGUAAUGCUGGGGAACUUGCCUUUGGGAGGGGGAUAACAGUUGGAAACGACUGCUAAUACCGCAUAAUGUCUACGGACCAAACGGGGCUUAGGCUCCGGCGCAAAGAGAGGCCCAAGUGAGAUUAGCUAGUUGGUAAGGUAAAGGCUUACCAAGGCAACUAUCUCUAGCUGUUCUGAGAGGAAGAUCAGCCACUCUGGAACUGAGACACGGUCCAAACUCCUACGGGAGGCAGCAGUGGGGAAUAUUGCACAGGGGGGGAAACCCUGAUGCAGCCAUGCCGCGUGUGUGAAGAAGGCCUUCGGGUUGUAAAGCACUUUCAGUUGUGAGGAAAAGUUAGUAGUUAAUACCUACUAGCCGUGACGUUAACAACAGAAGAAGCACCGGCUAACUCCGUGCCAGCAGCCGCGGUAAUACGGAGGGUGCGAGCGUUAAUCGGAAUUACUGGGCGUAAAGCGCACGCAGGCGGUUUGUUAAGCUA
rnacentral:rRNA from 1 species